rnacentral:rRNA from 1 species
UACGUAGGGUGCAAGCGUUGUCCGGAAUUAUUGGGCGUAAAGAGCUUGUAGGCGGUUUGUCGCGUCUGCUGUGAAAUUUCGGGGCUCAACCCCGAACUUGCAGUGGGUACGGGCAGACUAGAGUGUGGUAGGGGAGACUGGAAUUCCUGGUGUAGCGGUGAAAUGCGCAGAUAUCAGGAGGAACACCAAUGGCGAAGGCAGCUCGCUGGGACGGUACUGACGCUGAGGCGCGAAAGCCAGGGGAGCGAACGGG